GACGGCGCCAAAGCGCCGGCAGAGCUGCUCUGGCUCUGCCUGGCUGCAACUCCAGGCUCAGAAUGGGCCUGGAGCAGGAUGGAAGGAAACGCAAGGAGGGCCCAGACAGAGCCUUGUGUUGGUGUACCGGGUACCUGUGACGCUGUGGCCGUUUUGUGUCAACAUGCAGUCUGUGCCCCAGCAACUGGAGCGCUGGACGGGCCGUCGAGGGCCUGCGUGCCCUUUGCUCCUUGGGGGGCACGGCGCUGGGACCCAGGAGGACCCGGCUUGAGUCCUGGACAUGCGGAUUUCUAGAGUCAGGCAGGGGAGGCAUCCGGCCUCUGGAAGGCUGGGCUUCAGGUAGUGAAGGCGGUGUGUCACUGCGGUGGUAUCUGGGGAGGCGUGCCGAGCCUCUCCGUGUGCGCGUCCCCUCCAGAAAUCUCCACAUCCCCCUGCUUCUCUCUCCACCAGAGCCGCCUCUCCCUCUGCCGACUGCCUGCCUGCCUGCCUGCCUGCCUGUGCCAAGAAGCCUACCCGAAUCGAGGGAAGAGAGAACGAUGCCCGGGAGCGCCUUAACUUCACGCCGGGCGCAAGGGCGGAAGGGGGCCGAUUGGUUGACAGCCGGCUGCCUUGCCUUAAGGAGCAGGGCGUCUGAUGUCAAGCCGCCUCUCCCUCUGCCGACUGCCUGCCUGCCUGCCUGCCUGCCUGCCUGCCUGCCUGCCUGCCUGUGCCAAGAAGCCUACCCGAAUCGAGGGAAGAGAGAACGAUGCCCGGGAGCGCCUUAA
rnacentral:lncRNA from 1 species